rnacentral:rRNA from 1 species
GUGUCAGCAGCCGCGGUAAUACGUAGGGUGCAAGCGUUGUCCGGAAUUAUUGGGCGUAAAGAGCUCGUAGGCGGUUUGUUGCGUCGGCUGUGAAAUCCCGAGGCUCAACCUCGGGUCUGCAGUCGAUACGAGCAAACUAGAGUGUUGCAGGGGAGACUGGAAUUCCUGGUGUAGCGGUGAAAUGCGCAGAUAUCAGGAGGAACACCGGUGGCGAAGGCGGGUCUCUGGGCAACAACUGACGCUGAGGAGCGAAAGCGUGGGGAGCGAACAGGAUUAGAAACCCCCGUAGUCC